UACGGGGGGGGCAAGCGUUGUUCGGAAUUACUGGGCGUAAAGGGCGCGUAGGCGGUGACUUAAGCGUGUGGUGAAAGCUCGGGGCUCAACCCCGAGUCGGCCGUGCGAACUGGGUCACUGGAGCAGAUCAGAGGCAGGCGGAAUUCCGGGUGUAGCGGUGGAAUGCGUAGAGAUCCGGAAGAACACCGGUGGCGAAGGCGGCCUGCUGGGAUCUUGCUGACGCUGAGGCGCGACAGCGUGGGGAGCAAACAGG
rnacentral:rRNA from 1 species